CGGAGGGUGCAAGCGUUAUCCGGAUUCACUGGGUUUAAAGGGUGCGUAGGUGGGCAGGUAAGUCAGUGGUGAAAUCUCCGAGCUUAACUCGGAAACUGCCAUUGAUACUAUCUGUCUUGAAUUUUCUGGAGGUGAGCGGAAUAUGUCAUGUAGCGGUGAAAUGCCUAGAUAUGACAUAGAACACCCAUUGCGAAGGCAGCUCACUACGGGACAAUUGACACUGAGGCACGAAAGCGUGGGGAUCAAACAGGAUUAGAUACCCUGGUAGUCCACGCCCUAAACGAUGGAUACUCGACAUCAGCGAUACACUGUUGGUGUCUGAGCGAAAGCAUUAAGUAUCCCACCUGGGAAGUACGACCGCAAGGUUG
rnacentral:rRNA from 1 species